AUGGCGCCGAAAGCGAAGAAGGAAGCUCCUGCCCAUCCCAAAGCCAAAGUGAAAGCCUUGAAAGCCAAGAAGGCAGUGCUGAAAGGCAUCCACAGCCACAAAAAGAAGAAGAUCCGAAUGUCACCCACCUUCUGGGAGCCCAAGACCCUGCAACUCCAGAGGCAGCCAAAAUAUCCUUGAAUGAGUGCGCCCAGGAGAAACAAGCUUGACCACUAUGCUAUCAUCACAUUCCCACUGACCACCAAGACAGCCAUGAAGAAAAAAGAGGAUAACAACACUCUUGUGUUCAUUGUGGAUGUCAAAGCCAACAAGCAUUAGAUGAAAUAGACCUUCAAGAAACUCUAUGACAUUGAUGUGGCCAAAGUCAAUACCCUGAUAAGGCCUGAUGGAGAGAAGAAGGCUUGUGUUUGUUUGGCUCCUGAUUAUGAUACCCUAGAUGUUGCCAACAAAAUUUGGAUCAUCUAA
rnacentral:lncRNA from 1 species